rnacentral:rRNA from 1 species
GACGAACGCUGGCGGCGUGCUUAACACGUGCAAGUCGAACGGAAAGGCCCUGCUUUUGUGGGGUGCUCGAGUGGCGAACGGGUGAGUAACACGUGAGUAACCUGCCCUUGACUUUGGGAUAACUUCAGGAAACUGGGGCUAAUACCGGAUAGGAGCUCCUGCUGCAUGGUGGGGGUUGGAAAGUUUCGGCGGUUGGGGAUGGACUCGCGGCUUAUCAGCUUGUUAGUGGGGUAGUGGCUUACCAAGGCUUUGACGGGUAGCCGGCCUGAGAGGGUGACCGGCCACAUUGGGGCUGAGAUACGGCCCAGACUCCUACGGGAGGCAGCAGUGGGGAAUAUUGCACAAUGGGCGGAAGCCUGAUGCAGCAACGCCGCGUGCGGGAUGACGGCCUUCGGGUUGUAAACCGCUUUCGCCUGUGACGAAGCGUGAGUGACGGUAAUGGGUAAAGAAGCACCGGCUAACUACGUG